CUGUCUUUGAGUGGUCAGCGGC
rnacentral:miRNA from 1 species